ensembl:lncRNA
UGUAUUAUUUGCAUUUCAGGAUGUUAGUGAAAUUUCAAAAUGAAACAUUACAGAUUCUAAUUUAUUUUAAGUUACAAGCUAAUAUCUGAUGUAGACUAUGAGAUUUAUUACCUGUUAUUAGAAAAUCAUUAGAUGAUUUGGAGGACCUGAUCAAGCUCCCAGAAAUGGGUCUCAGAGACACAUUGCAGCAUCAAUUUACUGAAGGAGCCACCUCUGCCUCAGUCUGGAAGCCAGGGAAUGAGAAAGUUGCCAUCGCAAUUACAAGCUCCAGGCUCACAGGGCCUCUGUCAUGAUUCAUGCUAUUUGAAUAGAUACCUUUUAACCCCCAUGGAACAAGAAUUGGACCCUGGAUCUUCUACUACAAAUGCCCUGGAGUUUCCAGGUGCUCCUAUGACCUCAUUGGUAGCAGAAGCAGCAGAAUCAACAUAAUUAUGGCAUCUACCACCUAAUUCCAAUUUUCAUUUUCCAAAUUUCAUUUAAACACACUGCUAGAUGGAAUAUAUGUCAUCUGAAAAAUUCCAUUUCUUUGAAAGUCUGGGAAAUGUAAUUUUUGCUUUCCAGCUUUUAGCAGGCAGUAAGACAGGAUACAAAGUGGUUGGAAUGCAGCUGAAAGAGCCAGUCUGAAGCAUCUGCCACAGUCUAUCCCUUUGGUAAUGCAGAAACCCUAUAUAGCCUUCUGCCAGUAAAUCUUCCAAAUAAACAUCAUGAGAAAACCCGACAUACUCUUCUAAUGGACCUUAUACAAAAAAAAUCUGAUUAUUCCAAAAGGGCAAAGCAAAUCCCACUGCAUCCAUCUCUGAAUGAUGUUCAUUCCUUUCCUUGUGUAAUCACAUGGUUGAUACCAUGUUGGUUAUGUAGCAAAUGAUAAACUAUAUUACCAUUCUAUGUUAAUAUCCAUAUUUAUUCUGUAUAAAUAUAGGUGGCAGGGGAGUGUAUUUUGCAUACUAUUUGUGAUCACAAAUCUCAUUUCUUCAACUGGUUGUGAAGUAUCCAACACUAGUCAAUAUUAAAAGAUGUUGCUCUAUAU